AGGAACUUCUGUCAGGACCUGUGUGAUAUCUUUGCUGACAGCUAUACAGCAAGUCUUUCAAAGAAGCUCAAUGAGGGGGAACAGGUCAGAGAGAUGAAGUACUUGCCGAAGGCCAUUCACUGGAGAAGUCUAGCCCUGGAUUGAGCUCCUAGCCACCAAGUGCUAAUGCAUUUUAUGGAAACACUCUUCUAUCAAAUGGCUUGUCAACCUCAGAAGUAAGUUAAAGAAAACAGAUAGCUAUGUAAUUCCUAUGUAAUACAUAAGCCAACAUUACUGAGCCAUUAUGUGUUUAAAACUGUUUUCUGACUUGUGUUCAACAUAUUAGGA